GAAAUGCGAUAAGUAAUGUGAAUUGCAGAAUUCAGUGAAUCAUCGAAUCUUUUAACGCACCUUGCGCUCCUUGGUAUUCCUUGGAGCAUGCCUGUUUGAGUAUCAUGAAAUCUUCAAAGUAAAUCUUUUGUUAACUCAAUUGGUUUCUACUUUGGUAUUGGAGGUCUUUGCAGCUUCACACCUGCUCCUCUUUGUUCAUUAGCUGGAUCUCAGUGUUAUGCUUGGUUCCACUCGGCGUGAUAAGUUAUCUAUCGCUGAGGACACUGUAAAAGGUGGCAAAGGUAAAUGCAGAUGAACCGCUUCUAAUAGUCCAUUGACUUGGACAAUACUUUUAUGAUCUGAUCUCAAAUCAGGUAGGACUACCCGCUGAACUUAAGC
rnacentral:misc_RNA from 1 species